rnacentral:rRNA from 1 species
UACGUAGGGGGCAAGCGUUGUCCGGAAUCAUUGGGCGUAAAGAGCGCGUAGGCGGCCCGGUAAGUCCGCUGUAAAAGUCCAGGGCUCAACCCUGGAAAGCCGGUGGAUACUGUCGGGCUAGAGUCCGGAAGAGGCGAGUGGAAUUCCUGGUGUAGCGGUGGAAUGCGCAGAUAUCAGGAGGAACACCUGUGGUGUAGACGGCUCUCUGGACAGUAACUGACGCUGAGACACGAAAGCGUGGGUAGCAAACAGG